UCCAAGUGGCACUCCGUUCCCAUCGAGCAUGACGACUCUUCCUGCAGGUGGUGCCUUUAUUUGAGCUCUCUCACUUUUCUUUGCUGCAGAAAUUUUCUUCCUACCCUUUGUUUCAGAGUACAGAGGCAGUUUCAUCGUCUCUUGCUGCCGAUGCUGCAUUAGUUGGUCAACACCCUGCUUGGAUUGGUUGGCUUGAGCAGUGGCCUGGAGCAUUUCAGCUGCAUAAUAAUGAAGGUCAUCUUCAAUUUCAGCAUCCUCUUCAGCCAUCCUUUGGUCAGCAUCUGCUCGAUUUGCUGAAUGUAUUGCAUCAAGCUCUUCCACUAGCCUCUUGAGGACAUAGAAGGCUCUAUCAUAUUGUUGGUCACGUCUCAUCGCUUUCUUAUUAACCAUCAAAUUUAGCUCCAGCAAGAUGUCUUGCUUCGAUAGUCUUGAGCUGCCAUCCGAUGCAGUCGUGUUGUAGUCCCUUGUAUCAAAUGUUGGUUGUGAUCUUGUAGUCUUUGUGUACCAUUUGAGGAUAUACUUGUCUAGAAAUUUGUCAGGCUUUAGGUGGUCCAGUAUGUUCAUGAUGUGAAGGCAGAAGAGGCUUGCAUUUUUGUGAUGAAUGCAGAAUACAUAGUUUGUGAGCCAGCAAUGAGUUUCAUCUAUUUAAUAUGAUACUACUAGUUUAGGAAUUUAAUGAGCUUGUU
rnacentral:lncRNA from 1 species